UGGGAACUCCCUUCGCCUUGUGCAAUUUGAA
rnacentral:piRNA from 1 species